UCUGCUGACUCAGACUAGCCAUGCAUGUCUAGUAUAAGUGUUAUACAGCGAAACUGCGAAUGGCUCAUUAAAACAGUUAUAGUUUAUUUGACAAUCGAAUUUACAUGGAUAACCGUGGUAAUUCUAGAGCUAAUACAUGCUGGUGUGCCCGACUUUUCGGAAGGGCGGUAUUUAUUAGAUAACAAGCCAAUAUUCCUCUGGUCUAUUGUGGUGACUCAUAAUAACUGAUCGAAUCGCAAGGCCUAUGGCCGCGAUAAGUCAUUCAAGUUUCUGCCCCAUCAGCUUUCGAUGGUAGUGUAUUGGACUACCAUGGCGUUUACGGGUAACGGAGGAUUAGGGUUCGAUUCCGGAGAGGGAGCCUGAGAAACGGCUGCCACAUCUAAGGAAGGCAGCAGGCGCGUAAAUUACCCAAUCCCGAUUCAGGGAGGUAGUGACAAGAAAUAACGGACCGAGGCCUUCGGGCUUCGGGAUUGCAAUGAGCCGAAUUUACACCCCUUAGC
rnacentral:rRNA from 1 species